UGCUUCCGUGCUAGUAUUCAAUCUGCUAGUUCUGAAUUUUGAUUCCAUCAAGAGGAAUGACGCCACUGGGCAACCUGCUACUGCAACUACUGGAGGAAACUUAAUAUUCCUAUGGCUGAGGUCGUCUAUAAGACGCCCUAUACGUUAGAUGAUGGAGCAGUUACACUUGGAUCAAAGAAGACCACUAUCUCUGUGAUUGAUCCGAUGAUUGAGGGAUAAUCAUAAAUACACUUCAUCUGGUGGAGAGGAGCAGGGUGUUCUGUACCCUAGUAUUAUUAAAGGCAUUAAGCAAUGGAUCGAUCAAGCCUGUUCCAACGAAUCCAAAUGCUGCUAAGCCGCUACUAUAUGUCACGGUGCUACUAAUAAGCCUCAGGAACUAGAUGACACGGUUCUUAGGAGAUUGGU